UUGAAAGGGAAACGAUUGAAGUCAGUCGUACCGACGAGAAAUCAACUUAUCGUGUGCGAACUUGUGGGCGUGCGUGAGUUUCGGCCUCGCUGUUUGCAUGUUUGUGCGUUUUGGGUGUAUUUUUUCGUAUGGUAGGCCAACGUCAGUUUCGAUUAUCAUAAAAUGACCGGCGGAAUGUAGCUUCGACUUCGGUUGAAGUGUUAUAGCCUCUGGUAGAUGUGGUGAUUGAGACUGAGGAUUGCAACGAAUACCCUUUGGGCUAUCCGUCUGGCCUCUGAAAGUUGCUCAGGUGCCGAAAGCGUGCUUACGGUCAUCUAAGAUAACGUUCAACAGGUUAGAACGUGAUUACAUUCGUUAAGGAUGUUGACGUA
rnacentral:rRNA from 1 species